rnacentral:rRNA from 1 species
ACGAAGUGGGCUAGCGUUGUUCGGAAUUACUGGGCGUAAAGCGCGCGUAGGCGGCUUUGCAAGCCAGAGGUGAAAUGUCUGAGCUCAACUUAGGAAUUGCCUUUGGGACUGCAAGGCUUCGAGGACUGGAGAGGUGAGUGGAAUUCCCAGUGUAGAGGUGAAAUUCGUAGAUAUUGGGAAGAACACCAGUGGCGAAGGCAGCUCACUGGCCAGUUUCUGACGCUAAAGUGCGAAAGCGUGGGGAUCAAACAGGA